rnacentral:misc_RNA from 1 species
UACGAGAGGUGCAAGCGUUACUCGGAAUUACUGGGCGUAAAGCGUCCGCAGGUUCCUCGUACAGUCCCGCUGUUAAAGUACAGAGCUCAACUCUGUGAUGCACGGGAAACUCACGAGGUAGAGUCAUACAGAGGCAUCUGGAAUGCCGUGUGUAGGGGUAAAAUCCGUUGAUCCACGGUAGAACGCCAAAAGUGAAGACAGGAUGCUGGGUAUGUACUGACACUCAUGGACGAAAGCGUGGGGAGCGAAGGGG